GCUGGGGUGGCUCAGUGGUGGAGUUCUUGCCUAACAUGCUUGAUGGCCUGGGUUUAAUCCUCAGCUCUAUCC
rnacentral:tRNA from 1 species